UUUUUAGAUAAUACAUGGCAGGAGUCUGAGCUAAGCCUUAUAUGUUUGAACCCCCAGAAAUCACAAAGUAAGGUCUCACAGUGUGUAGUUCUUGAUAGGAUGAGUACUAGUAGACUAAGUGAUCCAACUACUUUUUGACAAUACAGAUAUACAGCAUAUAGACAAUUUGUUCGCUGUUGCUGGGGCUGUCUGGUAAAAAGUUCCUCUUUCAUCCUGUGCAGUGAACAAGAUCAGAAAAGAAUUUCCAGAAGGCACAAAAACAGGUUUCAAGUCAUCAGCAUGCUGAAAUGGCUACAUAGUUUUGAAAAUAAAAUGUAUAUAUAUAGCAUUAACAAAAAGAUAUUUAAUUUAAAAUUUAAAAAAAAUACAGUGUUAUUUAUAAACAGACUUAAAACUGUGUCAAUCUCUUUAUAUUGUCCCAUGAUGGCCGUUCAAAUUUUGAACACAAUGGUUCUGGUAUGUGAUCCACAUAUUCAGUGAGGCUCUUGGUCAAUUCUUUUGGGUCCUUAUGAAAUUCAUCAAACAAAUAGUUCAUAAGUCUAUGGACAUUAACUGAAAAA
rnacentral:sRNA from 1 species